GACGAACGCUGGCGGCGUGCUUAACACAUGCAAGUCGAACGGAAAGGCCCUGCUUUUGUGGGGUGCUCGAGUGGCGAACGGGUGAGUAACACGUGAGUAACCUGCCCUUGACUUUGGGAUAACUUCAGGAAACUGGGGCUAAUACCGGAUAGGAGCUCCUGCUGCAUGGGGGGGGUUGGAAAGUUUCGGCGGUUGGGGAUGGACUCGCGGCUUAUCAGCUUGUUGGUGGGGUAGUGGCUUACCAAGGCUUUGACGGGUAGCCGGCAUGAGAGGGUGACCGGCAACAUUGGGACUGAGAUACGGCCCAGACCCCUACGGGAGGCAGCAGUGGGGAAUAUUGCACAAUGGGCGGAAGCCUGAUGAAGCAACGCCGCGUGCGGGAUGACGGCCUUCGGGUUGUAAACCGCUUUAGCAUGUGACGAAGCGUGAGUGACGGUAAUGGGUAAAGAAGCACCGGCUAACUACGUG
rnacentral:rRNA from 1 species